GUGCUUACAUGGCAGGGGAGAUACUAUGACCAGAGAGGUCGUCUUCCCACUCUGGGGCUUACCCCACUAGAUCUAGUACCUCUGUAGUUUCCCCAAACUCAGGCACUGUGACUACAUAACUUGCUGUGGUAGGGACUAUGUUCACACGUUCCUUU
rnacentral:snRNA from 1 species